UACGGAGGGUGCGAGCGUUGUCCGGAAUCACUGGGCGUAAAGGGCGCGUAGGCGGCUUCUCAAGCGUGUGGUGAAAGUCCGGGGCUCAACCCCGGACCGGCCGUGCGGACUGGGGAGCUCGAGUUCUGUAGAGGCGGGUGGAAUUCCGGGUGUAGCGGUGGAAUGCGUAGAGAUCCGGAAGAACACCGGUGGCGAAGGCGGCCCGCUGGGCAGAGACUGACGCUGAGGCGCGACAGCGUGGGGGGCAAACAGG
rnacentral:rRNA from 1 species